CGCGACCCCAGGUCAGACGGGACUACC
rnacentral:rRNA from 1 species